rnacentral:rRNA from 1 species
UACGUAGGGGGCAAGCGUUGUCCGGAAUCAUUGGGCGUAAAGCGCGUGUAGGCGGCCCGAUAAGUCCGCUGUGAAAGUCCAGGGCUCAACCCUGGAAUGCCGGUGGAUACUGUCGGGCUAGAGUCCGGAAGAGGCGAGUGGAAUUCCUGGUGUAGCGGUGGAAUGCGCAGAUAUCAGGAGGAACACCAAUAGCGAAGGCAGCUCGCUGGGACGGUAUUGACGCUAAGGCGCGAAAGCGUGGGGAGCAAACAGG